GUGGGGUGACUGCGUACCUUUUGUAUAAUGGGUCAGCGACUUAUAUUCUGUAGCAAGGUUAACCGAAUAGGGGAGCCGGAGGGAAACCGAGUCUUAAUUGGGCGUUAAGUC
rnacentral:rRNA from 2 species